rnacentral:rRNA from 1 species
UACGUAGGGGGCGAGCGUUGUCCGGAUUCAUUGGGCGUAAAGCGCGCGCAGGCGGCUGGGCAAGUCGGCCGUGAAAUCUCCGGGCUUAACUCGGAGGGGUCGGGCGAGACUGCACAGCUCGAGGCGGGUAGAGGGCAGUGGAAUUCCGGGUGUAGUGGUGGAAUGCGUAGAGCUCCGGAGGAACACCAGUGGCGAAGGCGGCUGCCUGGGCCCGGCCUGACGCUGAGGCACGAAAGCGUGGGGGGCAAACAGG